UUGAUCUCAAAUCAGGUAGGACUACCCGCUGAACUUAAGCAUAUCAAUAAGCGGAGGAAAAGAAACUAACAAGGAUUCCCCUAGUAACUGCGAGUGAAGCGGGAAGAGCUCAAAUUUAAAAUCUGACGUGCCUCUGGUCGUCCGAGUUGUAGUCUGGAGAAGCGUCUUCCGUGUUGGACCGUGUAUAAGUCUCUUGGAACAGGGCGUCAUAGAGGGUGAGAAUCCCGUCUUUGACACGGACUACCAAUGCUUUGUGAUGCGCUCUCAAAGAGUCGAGUUGUUUGGGAAUGCAGCUCAAAAUGGGUGGUAAAUUCCAUCUAAAGCUAAAUAUAGGCGAGAGACCGAUAGCGAACAAGUACCGUGAGGGAAAGAUGAAAAGCACUUUGGAAAGAGAGUUAAACAGUACGUGAAAUUGCUGAAAGGGAA
rnacentral:rRNA from 1 species